rnacentral:rRNA from 1 species
GAUGAACGCUGGCGGCGUGCCUAAUACAUGCAAGUCGAGCGAAUGGAUUAAGAGCUUGCUCUUAUGAAGUUAGCGGCGGACGGGUGAGUAACACGUGGGUAACCUGCCCAUAAGACUGGGAUAACUCCGGGAAACCGGGGCUAAUACCGGAUAACAUUUUGAACCGCAUGGUUCGAAAUUGAAAGGCGGCUUCGGCUGUCACUUAUGGAUGGACCCGCGUCGCAUUAGCUAGUUGGUGAGGUAACGGCUCACCAAGGCAACGAUGCGUAGCCGACCUGGGAGGGUGGUCGGCCACACUGGGACGGAGACACGGCCCAGACUCCUACGGGAGGCAGCAGUAGGGAAUCUUCCGCAAUGGACGAAAGUCUGACGGAGCAACGCCGCGUGAGUGAUGAAGGCUUUCGGGUCGCAAAACUCUGUUGUUAGGGAAGAACAAGUGCUAGUUGAAUAAGCUGGCACCUUGACGGUACCUAACCAGAAAGCCACGGCUAACUACGUGCCAGCAGCCGCCGUAA